UAUGUAUACCUAUGGGCUCGGUGGCACGACAGCCAUGACAACAGCCGCUUACCUGCAACGCCUUUUCGUUCUGCAGGUUCUGCUCUGGUGUAGCCCUCGACCACGCGACAACGGAUGCGCUGGCGACAUCCCGGAGGUCUCUUGGCUCCCGGCUUGGCCAGACGCAGCAAAUGACCUUGAUUUGCCACACUGGACGAAGCGCACCCCACCGACACCACGAGAGACUGCUACAUCACCACCCGAAGAUCCGUUUCACGAGCCACCACCUUGGCUCUUACAACUGCGCCCCCUGGUUCUACCGUUAUCAAGCCACCAGAUAACGUCGCCUUUUACCCAGGACUAUAUAAGUGUGACACCGUGCAGCGCGGCAUUCUAUGGGCUCGGUGGCACGACAGCCAUGACAACAGCCGCUUACCUGCGACGCCUUUUCGUUCUGCAGCAAUCAUUGUCAUCAGGAGUGGUGCCGGAAGACUGGAGAGUAGGCAAGAUUGUUCCAGUCCCCAAAAAAGCUAUACUACCAGCUCAUCGUCAGUCCAGCCGCA